UUUGAGGUGUUUGGUUGCUUUAUGCUUGUAUUCAAGUAGAAGUUCUCAACUUCAUUCACUCUUUGUUCAAGCUUAUCAAUGUUCAUGACUAGCUCAUCAACGGUGCAUCUAAAACCAUCCAUUUCCCCACCAUUAACUCGUGGUCCCACAUUUUCUAAGUCCAAAUUGGAUGCAUCCGCACAUUCCAUCGUUAAUCGACUGGAUGGAGGAGAUUACGGCGCCGGCGGCACUACAAUACUCGUUGCUUUCUGUCAAACAAAUAUUAUUCUCUUCACCUUCUACUUUGACACCUUUCAAAAUCCCAAUUUUCAUAUGGG
rnacentral:misc_RNA from 1 species